rnacentral:rRNA from 1 species
UACGUAGGGUGCAAGCGUUAUCCGGAAUUAUUGGGCGUAAAGAGCUCGUAGGCGGUUUGUCGCGUCUGCUGUGAAAACUGGAGGCUCAACCUCCAGCUUGCAGUGGGUACGGGCAAACUAGAGUGCGGUAGGGGAGAUUGGAAUUCCUGGUGUAGCGGUGGAAUGCGCAGAUAUCAGGAGGAACACCGAUGGCGAAGGCAGAUCUCUGGGCCGUAACUGACGCUGAAGAGCGAAAGCAUGGGGAGCGAACAGG